AUUGUAUGGUGAGCACACAGCCUCUCUCAAGGAAGGUUUUUAUCCAUCCAGGUGUGGGCCAUUCACGUUAGCCACCAUAUCUUCAGUGACUCAUAGCAUAGAUGUGAGAUGGGGAUAUGGGGAAUUAGUAAUACAUGCUUACCUUUGGAGACAUGUUCACUGAGGAGUUCCACUGCUCUCCAGAAACAAUUAGGUCCCUGCCCAGUCGGUUCCUUUUUGUUGUUUUCAUAGGUGAACAGCUCCCGGAGAAAGCAAUAGGGGCAUCCUCCAUCUCUGUUUCCGUAGCAUCAUUAAGAACUGAAAUGAGAACAUAAAUAAAUCCAAAAUGUGAAGUAAGCUUUAAUGAUGUCUGGAUCUUUGGCCAGCUUUGGAUUGGCAAAAUCACUUUUUAUAGACUUUCCCCUGCUAUUUCCCCGAGUGUUAAAAUUAUUUAUUGUAACUUGGGGAGGCGGGUAGUUGUAAUGGCUACAGCAAUCUGUCAGAGCUUUCUUCACCAUCAAACAUGGGCCUUCGGGGGAUUGAUGUUUGCUAAUAGGUUUAAUGAGUUUUACAAGAAGUUUUUGCUUUAAAAAGGGGGUGCAUUCAUUGCUUUGAAUAUCAGGAUAAUAACCAUAGAAAGAGAAGCACAUCCAUGUGGAAAUGUAGCUUUUUAACAUAAGGAUUUAAACCUUCUGAUCGCUGCAAGUUCCAUGUUUUCUAUUCUUGGUAUCUCUGUCUAACCUCUGAGAUGCAUUCAUUUGUUUAUUACUCCAAGUACUUAGGAUGCCGCUUUUCAGGAUGAAGCCUUCUCAAGACAGCUUAUAAAAGAUAAUUUAAAUGAUUACAAAUUGUAAAAUGUGAAUAUGUAGAAUCCUUCAAAAUACUCAUCGUUCCCCUUUUUUGAGUUUAUUACUCAGUCUAGGGCAAGCAUUACUGAUACUGAUUUCUCUAGGUGUCUCUCAUUUCGCAGCUUCAGGUUACAGACUCUGUUAACCCAGAAAUAGUACCUCAGCUUAAGAACUUUGCUUCAGGAUGAGAACAGAAAUUGUGUUCCGGUGGCGCAGCGGCAGCGGGAGGCCCCAUUAGCUAAAGUGGUACCUCAGGUUAAGAACAGUUUCAGGUUAAGAACAGAUCUCCAGAACGAAUUAAGUUCUUAACCAGAGGUACCACUGUACACAGUAAUAAAAACAAACUGACUUUUUUACCAACUAUCAAAGAUUGGCAGAUGAAGAUGAUGGACUACAUGGAACAUGCCGAACUGACCGGGAGACUCCAAGACCGGAGAGAAGAGACGGUGGAAGAAGAUUGGAAGAAGUUUAAGGAAUAUUUGAAAAAAAUAUGUUAAUAUUUAAACCUUAGAAUAGCUUUGGAAGUGGAUAUAGGCUGUAGGGUUAGAAGUAGAAGACAGGGUAUUUUAAAACAGUAUUAUUUCUAAGUGAUAAAAUGUGAAGGUAUUUUAAGUGUGAUUAAAAAAAAAA